AAUUGCCAUCAUUAGUUGGGCACUUAAGAGACUGCCGGUGUUAAGCCGGAGGAAGGUGGGGAUGACGUCAAGUCCUCAUGGCCUUUAUGCCCAGGGCUACACACGUGCUACAAUGGGCGGUACAAAGAGAAGCAACCUCGCGAGGGUGAGCAAAUCUCAAAAAGCCGUUCUCAGUUCGGAUUGAAGUCUGCAACUCGACUUCAUGAAGUCGGAAUCGCUAGUAAUCGCGGAUCAGCAUGCCGCGGUGAAUACGUUCCCGGGCCUU
rnacentral:rRNA from 1 species